rnacentral:rRNA from 1 species
UGGAUUAGGCAUGCAAGUCGAACGGGACUUUAGCUUUUUCGAAGUCUAGUGGCGAAAGGGUGAGUAACACGUGGGUUACCUGCCCUCGGGAUCGGGAUAACUUGUCGAAAGACGGGCUAAUACCGGAUACGUCCCACCACUGAAUCAAUGGUGGGGGAAAGAUGGGGAUUCGCAAGAACCUAUCACCCCUGGAUGGGCCCGCGGCCUAUCAGCUAGUUGGUGAGGUAACGGCUCACCAAGGCUAAGACGGGUAGCUGGUUUGAGAGGAUGGUCAGCCACACUGGGAAUGAGACACUGCCCAGACUCCUACGGGAGGCUGCAGUCGAGAAUCUUUCGCAAUGGGGGAAACCCUGACGAAGGGACGCCGCGUGCAGGAUGAAGGCCUUCGGGUUGUAAACUGC